ensembl:lncRNA
CUAUGACUCUGUCUGACUAAGUCUGUCCCACCUCCACUGAAGAAGCAUGGGAUUAUGGAUCUAUCUUCUCUCUAACUUUCAUGGCCUGAGAGGAAUGUAUAAGAUCACAACAUGGAAAUGAAUGGCUUCUCUGUCAUUCUGAUGUCACUUUGCCUAGAAAAGGGCUUGUGAGACUUCUAACAGGGUUCAGGGGUUCUCUGAGGCCCAAACCUAUGCUUGAGCAGAAUACUAAAACCUAGAUUUUUACCUCCACAUUUCUGUAUUGUGAUGAAUAUAUAUCUGACAGCAGCUACUGACCACAUGAACUCAGAGAGGAGAUAUUUCUUUCACAAUAAUGUGGUGACCCAGACGACAUAGGCCAUAAGGUUGGAAAGCCUGGAGCUUUCACUUCAGAAGUCCUCCGGGGCACACAAAGGUAUGUUUACUUGCAGAAUUUUGAAGGGGAAAAACUCGGCCAGGCCAUAAAGACCACUACCUCUCCACCCUCAAAAAAAAUUCCCAGAAAGGGAGACAAAUUGUCUUCUAUUUGUGUCCUGUGUAUUUUUAUGUGUUCUUCUGUAUUUUGUUUUUUGUCUCUUGUAUUUGAAUAACCAGUCUACUUAAACUUAGUUUGGCAGGCACUCAGAUGUUCUGACGAGUGAUGUGAUUCAGGCGUCCAAAGCAAGGGCUAGCUGGACUGAGAAACUCUGGGUUUAAACAGACAGGACAAGGCAUUCCUCUCCAAACUUUGUGCGCUGUUUGCCUUAAUACUUUGUGGCAAAAACAAAACUCCUUUUUUAAAAAAAAACAACCCAAACUUCAUUUUUAUGCAGGCACAUAAGCAAGACACUUGUCUACGUGCUGUGGCCAUCGUCUCUGGUUCGUGGUUCCGACCGUUAGUCAAGCGUCCUGGUUCAGUGGCCAUGGUCUGGUAUAAAACACUGCCAUGGGUCAGUCAGAGAGCCCCUUUCCAGCCUGGUUCUGGUUCUGAUCCAACGAUGGUAGGGUCACAGGCUAAGCGAUCCCGUCUUCCCAGGAAAAGAGGUGGGAGAGGAAGAAACUGGAACAAGCAAAGGGAGCUUAGAAUAGUGGGGAAGACUAUCCUCACGCCACUCACUUGGUGUCCACCUGUAUCCCAGAAGAUGGUAAUUCCUAAAAUUAAGAUGCUGCCUGAGUUUAAGUUAAUUAUAAUAAAUUUUUACACCUAGAACAGCUUUCCUUGCUAUCUGGGCUAUCUUUCAGUUCUGAUGCUCAACUCUCCUUCCCAAUAUGCAGGUAAUUAUUACCAGUGACUAGCCUUUCAGUGGGAGAUAAGAAGAAACUGCAAGAUCUCUUCUCAUCCUUAACCCUCAUCAGAUGGAGGGUGGAGAUGAGGACAAUCAAGAGAAAAGGAGAAUUUAUGGCAUUGUAAAGUAACUGGGGACGACAUCUGUAACUGAAAGGUCAUCCCUUUACUGUAAAUUUCUAAAUUACAGUUUGAGUAUUCUUGUAAAUGCUGGAAUAUCUUAGUGGAUAUUUGGUUUGCAGCUUCCUAAAACCAAGAUUCAUGCAAUCAACAGUGAAGAUUUCUUUUUUCAAUCACUCUUUCCCUUGGAGGUGAUAGAUUCAUUCUUUUAGUAGGUGAUUUCACCACCUGGAGAAUGCUAAGAAAAAAUGGUUUACAGCCUGCAGCCUGUGGGCCUCAUCAAAUGAUAGCAUACGUCUAUAUUUUCUUCUGCGAACUGUUAACAGAAUUUAAAUUAGAGGCAAAGUAGAGAAAAUAAAUUGAACUGGACUACUCCA